rnacentral:piRNA from 1 species
UCAUACAAACGUAUAUGCACAAACACACA